UGGAUCCAGACUUUGAUUCUGGCUCAGGACGAACGCUGGCGGCACGCUUAACACAUGCAAGUCGAACGGAGAUAUUCACUUCGGUAAAUAUCUUAGUGGCGGACGGGUGAGUAACACGUGAGGAACCUGCCUCUGAGUGUGGGAUAGCUUCUGGAAACGGAUGGUAAUACCGCAUAACAUUAUUUUAUCGCAUGGUAAGAUAAUCAAAGAUUCAUUGCUCAGAGAUGGCCUCGCGUCUGAUUAGAUAGUUGGUGAGGUAACGGCUCACCAAGUCGACGAUCAGUAGCCGGACUGAGAGGUUGGACGGCCACAUUGGGACUGAGACACGGCCCAGACUCCUACGGGAGGCAGCAGUGGGGAAUAUUGCGCAAUGGGGGAAACCCUGAUGCAGCGAUGCCGCGUGGAGGAAGAAGGUUUUCGGAUUGUAAACUCCCGUCGUAAGGGACGAUAAUGACGGUACCUUACAAGAAAGCUCCGGCUAACUACGUGCCAGCAGCCGCGGUAAUACGUAGGGAGCGAGCGUUGUCCGGGAUUACUGGGUGUAAAGGGAGCGUAGGCGGGACGGCAAGUCAGAUGUGAAAUAUACGUGCUCAACAUGUAGACUGCAUUUGAAACUGUCGUUCUUGAGUGAGGUAGAGGUAAGCGGAAUUCCUGGUGUAGCGGUGAAAUGCGUAGAGAUCAGGAGGAACAUCGGUGGCGAAGGCGGCUUACUGGGCCUUUACUGACGCUGAGGCUCGAAAGCGUGGGGAGCAAACAGGAUUAGAUACCCUGGUAGUCCACGCCGUAAACGAUGAUUACUAGGUGUGGGGGGACUGACCCCUUCCGUGCCGCAGUUAACACAAUAAGUAAUCCACCUGGGGAGUACGGCCGCAAGGUUGCAACUCAAAGGAAUUGACGGA
rnacentral:rRNA from 1 species